GGCAGCAGUGGGGAAUCUUGGACAAUGGGGGCAACCCUGNUCCAGCCAUGCCGNGUGUGUGAAGAAGGCCUUCGGGUUGUAAAGCACUUUCAGUAGGGAGGAAGGNUUAUCCUUAAUACGGAUGAGUANUUGACGUUACCNACAGAAGUUAAGCACCGGCAAAUUUCGUGACAGCAGCCGCGGUAAUACAAAAGGUGCGAGCGUUAAUCGGAAUUACUNGGUCGUAAAGCGCGCGUAGGCGGUUUGCUAACUCAGAUGUGAAAGCCCCGGGCUCAACCUGGGAACUGCAUUUGAAACUGGCAGGCUAGAAUGCAGGACAGGGAGGUGGAAUUUCCGGUGUAGCGGUGAAAUGCGUAGAGAUCGGAAGGAACACCAGUGGCGAAGGCGGCCUCCUGGACUGACAUUGACGCUGAGGUGCGAAAGCGUGGGGAGUAAACAGGCUUAGAUACCCUGGUAGUCCACGCCGUAAACGAUGUCUACUAGUCGUUGGGAAUCUUAGUAUUCUUGGUGACUAAGUUAACGCGAUAAGUAAACCGCCUGGGGAGUUCGGCCGCCUGGUUAAAACUCAAAGGAAUUGACGGCUA
rnacentral:rRNA from 1 species